UACGGAAGGGGCAAGCGUUGUUCGGAAUCAUUGGGCGUAAAGGGCGCGUAGGCGGUCGCGUGUGUCUGCUGUGAAAGCGCACGGCUCAACCGUGUGAAGUCGGUAGAAACUGCGGGACUUGAGGCUGGGAGAGGUUGGUGGAAUUCCCUGUGUAGCGGUGAAAUGCGUAGAUAUAGGGGAGAACACUCGUGGCGAAGGCGGCCAGCUGGACCAGUCCUGACGCUGAGGCGCGACAGCGUGGGGAGCAAACAGG
rnacentral:rRNA from 1 species